AUACAUUGGGACAACCCGGAUUAAUUAUGAUAAUUUAAGGCCAAGAUUUUUCCGGGAUUUGAAGUCGGGACUUUUGACCAUUUGAUUUUAAUUUGAGAUAUAAGUCAUGUAUGAAAUUGAUGGCAUUGAACACUUAGGGAAAAUUGGGACUACAAUUCAUAAAAUUGGAAUUAAAAUGUUGUGCAAAAAAAUAAAAAAUAAAAAAUAAAUUCCUUGGUGGCCAUGUAAAUGGGAAUUGGUCCCACACAUUGUGUGGCCAAUUUUAAUUGGUCCACUCCAUGUGUGGGCCAAGGACACUUGGACAACAACUAUAUGAGCCUAAAGUAUGACCAAGUAGUCAUCUUUUCCCCAUUGCAAGACUUAGAAAAAAAAAUCAAGGAGUUGAAGACCACCUUCAACACCCCUCUCGGCUACAAACCAAGAAAAACCAAAUCCAAAUCAAGCCACCCCAAAAUUAUUUCCUUGGUAUAAAUCAACUAUUUAGAAGUCCCUAAGUAACGUGGAAGAGUUGUUUGGGUCAUCCAACCACUAGUUGUGCCCAAUUGCAAACCCUAACUAUUGAAGGAAGUGAAGAAGGAAGACCUUGGGCAGCCCGAAUCAUAGUUUGGACUUAGCUUGAGUUGGAUCAUAUUGGAGAGCGUUUGAGGUACAGACGCACAGCCUGGUGAUCCACCUGUUUAGGACACCCUUUCUGCUAUUCGGAGUGCUCCUCUCUUUCCGGAGCUUAUACUUUUGGUAUAUAUAUUUUUUAGUGCAUUUGUAUAUAUUCGUUCAUGGGUACGGCGGGGCCCUGUCCCGUCAUAUGAUUAUGUCG